GACGAACGCUGGCGGCGUGCUUAACACAUGCAAGUCGUACGGUAAGGCCCUUUUGGGGGUACACGAGUGGGGAACGGGUGAGUAACACGUGAGUAACUAGCCCACCACUUAGGGAUAACGCAAGGAAACUGGUGCUAAUACUGGACAUGUAGUCCUGCUGCAUGGUGGGGGUUGGAAGGCUCCGGUGGGUGGGGAUGGAUUCGCGGCCUGUCAGCUUGCUGGUGGGGGGGUGGCCUACCAAGGCGGCGACGGGUAGGCGGCCGGGGAGGGGGACCGGCCACAUUGGGGCUGGGAUACGGCCCAGACUCCUACGGGAGGCAGCAGUGGGGAAUAUUGCACAAUGGGCGCGAGCCUGAUGCAGCAAAGCCGCGUGCGGGAUGACGGCCUUCGGGUUGUAAACCGCUUUCAGCAGGGGCGAAGCUGUGUGUGACGGUACCUGCAGAAGAAGCACCGGCUAACUACGUG
rnacentral:rRNA from 1 species